GAUGAACGCUGGCGGCGUGCCUAAUACAUGCAAGUCGAGCGAACAGACGAGAGUGCUUGCACUCUCUGCCGUUAGCGGCGGACGGGUGAGUAACACGUGGGUAACCUACCUAUAAGACUGGGAUAACUUCGGGAAACCGGAGCUAAUACCGGAUAAUAUUUAGCUUCGCAUGAAGCAAUAGUGAAAGACGGUUCUGCUGUCACUUAUAGAUGGACCCGCGGUGUAUUAGCUAGUUGGUGAGGUAACGGCUCACCAAGGCAACGAUACAUAGCCGACCUGAGAGGGUGGUCGGCCACACUGGGACUGAGACACGGCCCAGACUCCUACGGGAGGCAGCAGUAGGGAAUCUUCCGCAAUGGACGAAAGUCUGACGGAGCAAUGCCGCGUGAGUGAAGAAGGUUUUCGGAUCGUAAAACUCUGUUGUAAGGGAAGAACAAGUACGUUAGUAACUGAACGUACCUUGACGGUACCUGACCAGAAAGCCACGGCUAACUACGUG
rnacentral:rRNA from 1 species